UACGUAGGUGGCAAGCGUUAUCCGGAUUUAUUGGGCGUAAAGAGAACGCAGGCGGUCUUUUAAGUCUGAUGUGAAAGCCUUCGGCUUAACCGGAGUAGUGCAUUGGAAACUGGGAGACUUGAGUGCAGAAGAGGAGAGUGGAACUCCAUGUGUAGCGGUGAAAUGCGUAGAUAUAUGGAAGAACACCAGAGGCGAAAGCGGCUCUCUGGUCUGUAACUGACGCUGAGGUUCGAAAGCGUGGGUAGCAAACAGG
rnacentral:rRNA from 1 species